UUGUCCAGUGGCGGAUCCAGGAUUUGAAGGCUAUGGGUGCUCACUUCCUUUAGUGUAAAGUUGCUUGCCAAGAAGGGUUUCCUUCUAAAAACUUAUAUUUUUAUAGUUUAGUUAGUAAAUGAAAUAUUAAAAAUAGAAAAGUGAAAAAACAAUAAAUCGAAAAGGAAAAAAAAACAAGCAAAUAACAAUGAAUAAGAAUAAAAAGAAGAAAAGGAAAAAAAAAACAAGCAAAUAACAAUGAAU
rnacentral:lncRNA from 1 species